AGUGAACGCUGGCGGUAGGCCUAACACAUGCAAGUCGAACGGCAGCACAGUAAGAGCUUGCUCUUACGGGUGGCGAGUGGCGGACGGGUGAGGAAUACAUCGGAAUCUACUUUUUCGUGGGGGAUAACGUGGGGAAACUUACGCUAAUACCGCAUACGACCUACGGGUGAAAGCAGGGGAUCUUCGGACCUUGCGCGAUUGAAUGAGCCGAUGUCGGAUUAGCUAGUUGGCGGGGUAAAGGCCCACCAAGGCGACGAUCCGUAGCUGGUCUGAGAGGAUGAUCAGCCACACUGGAACUGAGACACGGUCCAGACUCCUACGGGAGGCAGCAGUGGGGAAUAUUGGACAAUGGGCGCAAGCCUGAUCCAGCCAUACCGCGUGGGUGAAGAAGGCCUUCGGGUUGUAAAGCCCUUUUGUUUGGAAAGAAAAGCAGCAGGUUAAUACCCCGCUGUUCUGACGGUACCCAAAGAAUAAGCACCGGCUAACUUCGUG
rnacentral:rRNA from 1 species